UGGAGGUGCUGGGGAAGCAGGCAUUCGGA
rnacentral:piRNA from 1 species